GCACACAUUUUAUUUGAAAGCAUUGAAUAAGUAGCUCAGGCUCUCGCUCAGACUUAAGGGGCUGAUGAACUACGCCCCCGCCGCAACCAGCUUUCUCUGCACCCCAAUCCAGCCCCGCUCCAGACGACGGGCUUAGAUUCUGCUAUCACGUAGGCAGUGAGCCUGGGGAAGAUGCGAUGCCUCCCUUGAAACCAUCAAGACAGAUAUCCGCUGGUUUUAGGGUGUCCCCCAAGGCAAGCAUCUGGGACGCCUCCGGCAUAUGCUCGCCCUCGGGGCCCGACCAGGAGGCUCCAGCUUUGCAAGGCGCCACCGCCCAGAGCUCAGGUCUGGGUUGGAAGGGUGGGCGGCACCGCCUCAGGGUACGUUCUCCCGACUUCGGAGAGAAAGAAAGGAAGAAAUGCACCCUAGGAAAAGGGGCUUCGACUUUUUGUGCCUGUGCUUUCAUGGAAGUCACCAGCUCUCGGCUGCUUAAGAUGCUACUCAGAAGCGCGCCCAGCCAGGCUGUGGCCAUCCGCGCCAAGUCCUCGUGUCCUGGUCGACGAGCACUUUGGGUAGCACCGCGACACACAAUAGCCACCACGGUUAGGAGAUAUGCUCGCUAUGCUUACCUGUUGGCAAAAAUAAAAUGCAAAAUAAAAAUUUAAAUUUGGAAACUAACACAUGGUGACAUCUUCUAGAACCACAGCUCUUUCUUCAGACAAAAGCCAAUUUUACCAUCCCGCAAACCCAUUGAGCCCUGGAAGUUCCGUUCGCGGCACUUUGGCGCCCUCUGGCUUUAUCAGGGUGGCUUGCUUGUUCUGCUUCGUCCUGAAAGAAUAGCGGAGGGGGGGGGGAAUGGAAAUGUAUGUUGCCUUCUUGGUUGGAUCUCCCCUCAUGAGUGAAGCACAGAUUUGGGAUGAGCUUGCCCUCCACGUCCGGAAUAACGAAACACAACUACAUUUAGGGAGACGAAUGCCAAAGUUUAAAAAUGGAACUGAAUCCUCGCUGUUCUCCAUGAAGAUAUAGCCAAAGAAAUGGAGCAUCCUGAGGUUUGAGCAGACAGGCCUAGCUGUUAGAGAAACCCUAGCUUAGCCUCUGCUUUCUAAAUCUGUAGCUUUGUGCAAGCUCCUUCUGUUGUGUGAUACAACUUUCCUAGGGAGGCAUGUGUAUGCACCCUAGAUAGGGGUCCUGUACUGGCCGGUUUUGUAUGUUAACUUGACACAAGCUGGAGUUGUCACAGAGAAAGGAGCCUCCCUUGAGGAAAUGACCCCAAGAGAUCCAGCUGUAAAACAUUUUCUUAAUUAGUGAUCAAAGGGGAAGGGUGGUACCAUCCCUGGACUGGGAGUUCUGGGUUCUAUAAGAAAACAAACUGAGCAAGCCAGGGGAAGCAAUCCAGUAAGCAGCCCCCCUCCAUGGCCUCUGCAUCAGCUCCUGCCUCCAAGUUCCUGCCCUGUGUGAGUUUCUGUCCUGAUUUCCUUUGGUGAUGAACAGCAGUAUGGAAGUGUAAGCUGAAUAAACCUUUUCCUCCUCAA
rnacentral:lncRNA from 1 species